UUCUCCUUCACUUUCACGAGGGCCUAAUUUGUUCACCAGUUUCUCAAUCAAUUGCUAUUUUACCUUAUUCUCUCUUCUUUCCAAAAUCACUUCAAAGAAACCCUAAAACCAUUUGUCUGCGGUUCAAGCAACAAGAAACAAGAGAGAUAUGGAGCAGAUGCGAGACGCAGACGGGAGAUGGUCAUCUUCUCCGACGACUGGUGUCAGCGAUAUGCCUUUCUUAGUAGCCAUCGACGGUGGUGGUUCCAAGGUGGUUGUUGUUGUCAUCGGUGGUCAGCAAAGGGUGAGAUUUGUCUUCCAACGGCUAGGGUUCCGUCAUGAAUCACUGGCGGCAAUGAACAUUGAUUAUUGACAUAGUCCAGUCAAUAUCAAUUUCAUGUUAUGUGACUCUGAGUUUCCAAUUGAAGAUUUUGGGGGUUUGACGUGGGUGGCCUUUGACAACAGUCGCACCCCCGCGUCGUCAAAAAGAAAAGAGAGAAAGAAGGACAUCGCUGCUUUGUUUUUUUGUGGGAGGGUGUGGCGAAGGAGGAGACCAUAGUCGCUGCAGCUUGGGUUUGUGUUUUGCAAGAUGCUAUUGCAAUUGUCAUGGAUGUGGAUGCCACCUUGGGGAAGAAAAAAGUUACAGAGCAUAUGGGUUUUUCAUGGUCUACAUUGACAUUUUGAACGAGGACCUUCAUGAACAUCAGGAUGAUGGGAUCAAUAAAGCAUGCCUAAAAGUUAGGUGCUUUAAGACAAAUGAGGAAUGUUUUGGACUUACCAGAUGUGAUAUCAUCACUAUUAAAAUGAUCGUAAUGUGUGCAACGAUGGAUGAGCGGAUGAAGAUGAUAACAUGCAAUGGUGAAGUGAGUUCGGCGGUGAGGCUUCUGCAGCGACUAGGGAUUCGGUCACAGCUUUGGACGGCUGUGAUGCUAUUAUCCGGUGACAAGUGGCUGCAGUUGUAUACAUGGAUUGUGGAUUCAACUAACAACAUAUGUGGAUGGUAUGGCUUACGUUGACAGAAGUCUUCACAGCCUUCCUACUGUCGUAGCUCCGGUUCAAUCGAUGCCUCCUCUCCGUUCAUAGUGUAAUUUUCUUUCUCAAAUUUUGAAUUUAGUAUAAUACUCGGGAUAGGCUGAAUUUUGUCCAGUGGCAUAAUAAUGAUCUUCAUUUGGUCAAAAUCAGAUUUCAAAGCUGAUGCUUCUUCUCCGUUCACAGUAAUUCUUUGUGUAUAUAUAUAUAUAUAUUUGUUUUUGGUGCGGAUCUUUAUGGGGAUUUUGAUGGUUAUUGGCAAAAAGAAAAGUAACUUUGGACAUAGGUCAUGCCUCGGUCCUGUAUUUAUAAGGCAUCGCCUACAAGAGAGUAUAAGAAAGAACUUAUGGAAAAGAUUCAAUACAUGAAAGAACAAGAUAUCGAAUUUGGUUAUAAGGUAAGUUGUUUCUUGAAUAAUAGAUGUCAUGGAUAUAUGAAAGAUUAUAUGAAUUGCUUCUAAGCUUUCUAGCGGUUGGUGGCCAAAAUAGAGUUCUACUGCUUCUUCUGUUAGUCAAAGUUGUUAUUUUGAACUUAUUAAAAAAAUUAGUGUUAAAGGAUUGCAUCUCAUAUUUACAAUAGAUAUAAUGAAGGAAACACGUUAUACCCAAGUCUUAAAGGUUUGGGAUAUACUCCUGAGUGAAACAUUUGGAAGGAAUCAUUAGGAUGUAUACUCUGGAGUAUGUUGAUCAUUGCAAGGCAAGAUGUGUUCAAAGGGGUUCCGAGUAUAGAGAGUAUCCAAUGACAUGGCCUGUGACACCUGAAAUUAUUCCGUCAUUCUAGCUUUCCAGCAAGGUUGUUACAUCUUAGGUUAACUCCGGUGACAAAGAAUAGGGUUAGGUUGUGGCCCUUGAAUUCUCCUUGGCGAUCAGAAUGCCCAAUCUAACCCAAACAAUGGUGGAGGUUAUUAUACCCCUCGGUACUGUGCGGACAUACAUCUAAACCCAUACACUUUUUGUUAUAUAUAUAUAUAUAUAUAUAUAUAUAUAUAUAUAUAUAUAUAUAUAUAUAUAUAUAUAUAUAUAUAUAUAUGUUUCGCGUUGAGACUUCAUGUUGAUUGAUGGUUGGGGUGGUGCAAUCGUGCCCGUGGUAGAAUCAUUAGUACUUAUUACUUUCUGAUUCUAGCAACAAUUUAAAAUAGAAAUCAACCUACAUUUUGAUUGAGGUUAAGGACCAACAAAUUAUUUGGUGAUCUGCUAUGGUUAAUUACUUUGUAGAGUCAUGAUGUGUUGUCAUGUGAGUUCAUGUCUUGUAUGUACUUUAAAUCAAUCUUUACACUUAGGGUUUUGUAUUGUUAACGUAACUUUGUUAGCUACUUUGUAGAUGAAGCUAGGAGAAAAUUCAUAGCUGAUAUCGGUCAAGUUUCAGUAAUUCAAGAAUCGAGCACCGCGAUACGAAUCAAAUAUGAAGUUAUAUUACAUAACAGAGAGUAAGUAUUAUGAAGUUGUUAUUUCAACCUAUUUACUCAAAUGGGUCGAUUUUAAAUUUGUUUUUAAAGGUGUGUAGGGAUGUUUACGGUUCGAUUUAAAACAGUUAAACCAGUCAUCGAUCCAGUUCAUGGUUGGUUUUAUUUUUAGUUUUCGGUCGGUCGGUUUCAAACCAUAUUGAGCGGUUUGGUUUGCGGUUUACACCGGAAGCAGACCGUGUAAAACCAGACAGGACCAUUAGAUUUAGAUAUAUUAUUAUUUUAAAAAUUCGUAUUUAUGGAGAUGUAAUACGAAAUCAAACCAUAUUGAGACAAAGACAGUAAAAUACUAAGUGCCUAAUAUCUAAAUGAGUCAUUUAGGUUUGUCUUGUCUCAGUAAAAUGAUUUAAAAUUCUAAUUGGCUAAAUCAUUGAAAAUAAAAAACACCGGCCCCUAAUAUUCAUCAAUUGUUCUAUCAGUAUAUCCUAAUCUUUCCUAAACGUUUGUUUCCCCUGUAACUGAUCUUUGAUUUCUUGGCUUCUAGCAUGUGUAUAGUUUUUGAUGACACUUGAAAGGGUUACCAUAUUCGUCACAAGAGAUCUAUCCGCUGACCUAGGAGGUGGCCAAGGAUGUAUUUACUCCAUAAAUUCUAUCGUUCUAACUAAAAUGAUGAUGAAUGUUAAAUGUGAAACCAAACUGUAAGUAUUGGUGGUUUUCCCUUUCAACGGUUUGGUUUCGGGUUUUGUUGAGAAAAAAACCAUUAUAAUAGUUUGGCUCGCUGUUUCACCUAAAACCAUCAAAACCAAAACCAUCAAAACCAGACUGUGAACACCCCUAAGGGUGUGCAUGGAUUGGUUUUGGCCCCUUUGGGUAUCUCAAAACCAACUAAAAACCGAAUUCUUUAUUUCGGUUUUUUAAAUUGUUCGGGUGACGGGUUUUGGAGUUGUAUCGAAGGGAAGGGUAUGUGAUUAAAGCUAUUGGUUCUUAGAGUUGUAUCGAAAUAUAUGUGCUUAAAGUUUUGAUCUUUCAUAGUUUUAAUGUCCAGGUGGCGAGUUUUAGAGAUGUAUAGAAGGGCAGGUGAUUAAAGUUUCGAUCUUUCAUUGUUAUAAUUUCCGGGUGACGGGUUUUUAGAGCUAUAUAUCAAAGGGUGUGUGAUUAAAGUUUUGAUAUUUUGUACUCUUAAAGUUUUAUAUUACCCAUUAUUUUAAA